rnacentral:rRNA from 1 species
AGCUCCAAUAGCGUAUAUUAAAGUUGUUGCGGUUAAAAAGCUCGUAGUUGGAUCUCGGCAGCCAGGGGGCGGUUCGCUCCAAAGCGUGACUGCCCCAUUUGGCUGUGUGAUUGGCGGAGGUUCCGGGGUGCUCUUCGUUGAGUGUCCCGGUGCGCCGUCAGGUUUACUUUGAAAAAAUUAGAGUGCUCAAAGCAGGCUUUUCAGGCUUGAAUAUUCGUGCAUGGAAUAAUGGAAAAGAACCUGGUCCCUAUUUGGUUGGUUUUCGGGAAUGGAGUAAAGGAUAAAUAGGGACAUUGGGGGCAUUAGCAUUCAAACGACAGAGGUGAAAUUCUUGGACCGUUUGAAGACUAACUACUGCGAAAGCAUUUGCCAAGAGUGUUUUCA